AUGGAGAGUUUGAUCCUGGCUCAGGACGAACGCUGGCGGCGUGCCUAAUACAUGCAAGUCGAGCGGGGUUGUUUAGAAGCUUGCUUCUAAACAAUCUAGCGGCGGACGGGUGAGUAACACGUAGGCAACCUGCCCACAAGACAGGGAUAACUACCGGAAACGGUAGCUAAUACCCGAUACAUCCUUUUCCUGCAUGGGAGAAGGAGGAAAGACGGAGCAAUC
rnacentral:rRNA from 1 species